rnacentral:SRP_RNA from 1 species
AUUACUCUCAGGCCCAUCCAUAAAUACAAUUGUCAAAAAGAAAAUAAAAAAUUGGUGGUCCAGCUGGGAACGAGCCAGCAGGCCAUGGUGAAUCUGAGUGGCGUCGAGCUGUGAUCCGUCCACUGCUGAGAGCGGGAGGUGAUCGCUGCUCUGUGAAACCAGCCUCACGCAUUGCCCUCCACUGCAAGAACCGCCUGAGCCAAGCCUUCGCUUAACACACACGGAUCACUCUCAGCUUGGACUGGGCAGCCCGGAACAAUGCCACAACAGAUCCGACCCGUGGGCCGAGCCAGUGUUCCACCAACUUAUUGUCCCCACACGGGUCACAAGCCCACGUUACUGAGCUCGACGU